rnacentral:rRNA from 1 species
UACGGGGGGGAGCAAGCGUUGUUCGGAUUUACUGGGCGUAAAGCGUGCGCAGGCGGUUAUAUAAGACAGUUGUGAAAUCCCCGGGCUCAACCUGGGAACUGCAUCUGUGACUGUAUAGCUAGAGUACGGUAGAGGGGGAUGGAAUUCCGCGUGUAGCAGUGAAAUGCGUAGAUAUGCGGAGGAACACCGAUGGCGAAGGCAAUCCCCUGGACCUGUACUGACGCUCAUGCACGAAAGCGUGGGGAGCAAACAGG